GAUGAACGCUGGCGGCGUGCCUAAUACAUGCAAGUCGAGCGAACAGAUGAGGAGCUUGCUCCUCUGACGUUAGCGGCGGACGGGUGAGUCACACGUGGUUAACCUACCUCUACGACUGGGAUACCUUCGGGAAACCGGAGCUACUACCGGAUAAUAUAUUGACCCGCAUGGUUCCCUAGUGAAAGACGGUUUUGCUGUCACUUAUAGCUGGAUCAGCGCCGCAUUAGCUAGUUGGUUAGGUAACGGCUUACCAAGGCUACGAUGCGUAGCCGACCUGAGCGGGUGGUCGGACACACUGGAACAGAGACACGGUCCAGACUCCGACGGGGGGCAGCAGUAGGGAAUCUUCCGGGAUGGGGGAGAGCGUGACGGAGCAACGCGGCGUGAGUGAUGAAGGUCUUCGGAUCGGAGAACGCUGUUAUUAGGGAAGAACAAAUGUGUAAGUAACUAUGCACGUCUUGACAGUACCUAAUCAGAAAGCCACGGCUAACUACGUG
rnacentral:rRNA from 1 species